rnacentral:rRNA from 1 species
CCUGCCCUCGAAUUUGGGAUAACUUGCCGAAAGGUGGGCUAAUACCGAAUAAGACCACGUCUCUUCGGGGAUGCGGUAAAAGGUGGCGCAAGCUGCCGUUUGAGGAUGGGCCCGCGUCCGAUUAGCUAGUUGGUGGGGUAACGGCCUACCAAGGCGACGAUCGGUAACUGGUCUAAGAGGAUGAUCAGUCACACUGGAACUGAGACACGGUCCAGACUCCUACGGGAGGCAGCAGUGGGGAAUUUUGCGCAAUGGGGGAAACCCUGACGCAGCAACGCCGCGUGGGUGAUGAAGGCUUUCGGGUCGUAAAGCCCUGUCGGAUGGAACGAACCGACUAGUGCUAAUACCACUAGUCCUGACGGUACUAUCAAAGGAAGUCACGGCUAACUCUGUGCCAGCAGCCGCGGUAAUACAGAGGUGACAAGCGUUGUUCGGAAUUAUUGGGCGUAAAGCGAGUGUAGGCGGCUUGUUAAGUCAGAUGUGAAAGCCCAGGGCUUAACCCUGGAAGUGCAUUUGAAACUGGCA